rnacentral:rRNA from 1 species
AAGCAGUGAGAUUGAGUGUUAGGCAAAUCCGGCACUCUUAAGAUUGAGCUGUGAUGGGGAGAGGAAAUUGUUUCCUCGAGUCGUUGAUUUCACACUGCCGAGAAAAGCCUCUAGAUAGAUAAUAGGUGCCCGUACCGCAAACCGACACAGGUAGUCAAGAUGAGAAUUCUAAGGUGAGCGAGCGAACUCUCGUUAAGGAACUCGGCAAAAUGACCCCGUAACUUCGGGAGAAGGGGUGCUCUUUAGGGUGCAAGCCCAGAAGAGCCGCAGUGAAUAGGCCCAAGCGACUGUUUAUCAAAAACACAGGUCUCUGCUAAACCGUAAGGUGAUGUAUAGGGGCUGACGCCUGCCCGGUGCUGGAAGGUUAAGAGGAGUGGUUAGCUUCUGCGAAGCUACGAAUCGAAGCCCCAGUAAACGGCGGCCGUAACUAUAACGGUCCUAAGGUAGCGAAAUUCCUUGUCGGGUAAGUUCCGACCCGCACGAAAGGCGUAACGAUUUGGGCACUGUCUCAACGAGAGACUCGGUGAAAUCAUAGUACCUGUGAAGAUGCAGGUUACCCGCGACAGGACGGAAAGACCCCGUGGAGCUUUACUGUAGCCUGAUAUUGAAAUUCGGCACAGCUUGUACAGGAUAGGUAGGAGCCUUUGAAACGUGAGCGCUAGCUUACGUGGAGGCGCUGGUGGGAUACUACCCUAGCUGUGUUGGCUUUCUAACCCGCACCACUUAUCGUGGUGGGAGACAGUGUCAGGCGGGCAGUUUGACUGGGGCGGUCGCCUCCUAAAAGGUAACGGAGGCGCUCAAAGGUUCCCUCAGAAUGGUUGGAAAUCAUUCAUAGAGUGUAAAGGCAUAAGGGAGCUUGACUGCGAGACCUACAAGUCGAGCAGGGUCGAAAGACGGACUUAGUGAUCCGGUGGUUCCGCAUGGAAGGGCCAUCGCUCAACGGAUAAAAGCUACCCCGGGGAUAACAGGCUUAUCUCCCCCAAGAGUUCACAUCGACGGGGAGGUUUGGCACCUCGAUGUCGGCUCAUCGCAUCCUGGGGCUGUAGUCGGUCCCAAGGGUUGGGCUGUUCGCCCAUUAAAGCGGUACGCGAGCUGGGUUCAGAACGUCGUGAGACAGUUCGGUCCCUAUCCGUCGUGGGCGUAGGAAAUUUGAGAGGAGCUGUCCUUAGUACGAGAGGACCGGGAUGGACAUACCUCUGGUGUACCAGUUGUCGUGCCAACGGCAUAGCUGGGUAGCUAUGUAUGGACGGGAUAAGUGCUGAAAGCAUCUAAGCAUGAAGCCCCCCUCAAGAUGAGAUUUCCCAACUUCGGUUAUAAGAUCCCUCAAAGAUGAUGAGGUUAAUAGGUUCGAGGUGGAAGCGUGGUGACACGUGGAGCUGACGAAUACUAAUCGAUCGAAGACUUAAUCAAUUU